AUCAGCGUGGAAAGUCGAAAUGCUCGAACGAACGAGGCGGCCGCUGCGGACCGUCCAGACUGUCCAGCAGUCCAUCCAAAGGUCCGACUCGGAGGGCAGCAGCAGCACCGACCUGGACCGGCCGAAGAAGAAAUCCACAGGGCGGCCGCAGACGGCCACCCUCGCGCGGCCCAGGGUGCUGGACACGUGCUACCUGACCAAGGUGGACAUGUCGCUGACGCGGAAGGCGCUGCUGAGCGUCAACAACCUGUGCAAAAAGCAGCGGGCGCCACCGAAGGCGUUCGCCAAAAUCACCACCUCGGGCGCCGCCAUGCAGCUCAGGCCGAAGCACAAACUUUCCAGCGGCGACGAGAGCUGGGAGGACGAAGAGGAACCGGCCAAGUCGGUUGUUUUGCGCGCCAAAACUUUCGUCCGCGAAAACGGCGUGCCGAAGCCGUGUCGCAGCUGCGGCCGCAACGACCUGCCCGAGAGGCUGCACAGCCACCCGGCCCCCGCCGCCCCCAGCACCAAGCAGCGGCCCCCGCUCAAGAGCUCGGUGCAGAGACCGACGCCCAUCAAGUACAAGAGCGUCAAGUCCAAAGUCACCUGCACGACAAGUUUCCACUCCUCGAACCUGGCGAAAAAGAACGCGGUGCUGAAGCAGGCCUUCUUCCCCGCGCCCUGCAGGCCCAACCCCCAGGGGGUGCUCUUCGGGCCCUCGUCAGCCAAACCUGCCGCAGUUCCCAAUUCAAAACCUGCAGCCCUCAGCCCCAAAACGUCACCGGUGCCACCGACGAAGCCGAACUCGCCGAAACGCUCGCCCAGGAGGGACCAAAAAGGCGUCAGCAAAAUUCCCGCGCCAAAACAGGCCGUUUUGCGGGCUGCGUCGCCCAGGUCGUUCGUCGUGGUCGAAGAAAAGCAGCCACGAAUUAAGCUGCAGAAAGUCGGCCAAGUCAAAUUAGCCAAGAGUAAAAAGCAGAAGCCGGCGGUGCUCAAAGUGUUGCAGCCCGCCGAGACCAACGUGGGUGCCAAAAAGCUCAACCCAAACUUGCAGGUGCCCCAACGCACACAACACCCCUUCGAGCAGUCGGAAAAUUUGAAACUCGAUGCGUCAACCCUUGGCAAUAAAAGGCCACUCUCUGAACGUCGACUGAAUCGCGAGCUGGAGCCGUCGAAAAUUAGGGAAGACACCCCUCGAUUGAACCACUUGGAACAAGAGACAAAGUGUUACUUGUGUGGGAGGUCGUUCGCCACCCUAAGUCUACCCUUGCACGAGCCCAUUUGUCUGCGCAAGUGGCGGCAAGACAAUGAAAAACUUCCCCAGGAGCAACGCAAACCGGAGCCCAGGCCCCCUCAAAAUCACUUUACAGCAAUCGUGCGCCCGCCAGUGUAAAAAUUUACACGCAUUUGCCUUAAUAAAUUAGUCACCAUGGGAACCUGCGCGGCACAAACACACAGUGAGAAAAUCAAUUCCCCUGCCUAAAACGACAUAGCCGGGGUCAGUUAAAAAAUCAAGAUGUGUUGGAGCGAGAGGAAAACUUUGGCGCCAUGUACGAGUCUCAUUUAGAGCAGUUGGUGCCUUGCGGAGGCUGCGGGCGCACGUUUCUGCCUGAACGACUGGAGGUGCACACCAAAAGUUGC